rnacentral:lncRNA from 1 species
CUGGAGCCAGGAUGCUGGACUAGUUAAGGGCCGCUGGUUGUGGAGUCAGAUGGACUGGGAUUAAAUCUUGACUCGUCCACCAACUAUCAACUUGAUCAAAAUGAAGUCUUAGUAUGUUGUCCAGGCUGGUCUUGAACUUCUGGCCUUAAGUGAUCCUCCUGCCUUGGCCUCCCAAAGUGUGGGAUUACAGGCAUGAGCCACUGUGUCUGGCUGAAAUUGGAAUUCUAAAGAAUCAAAUUUUGCCCCAAUUUGCUGUGCUGCCUGUGCUUGGAAUAAACAUUUUGCAGCCAUACAGAAAUCAGAAGAUUUAUUGAGAAUACGGUACAUGCUCCUAGUGGGUAGAGAGGAAUCAGACAUAGCUCCCGCCGUCAAGGAGAUCUGAGUUUCAUGAUGAAGAUACAAAAAUGAAAAUGACUAUGUGUGGAAUGUGCUAAUAGUGAUAUGAGCAGGGCAAGCUCAAGGCACGAGGGAAGGUCAAAGGAAGCUUAUGAAAGAAAGAGAUUCUUCGGCAGUGUUAAGAUAAGUAAAUGGAGGGUCAGAGACACUGUUGGUUACCCAAGAUCGUAUUCCAGAUCACUGGUGAAGCCUGUUAGCAACUCCAAGCAUUUGAGCUAGGAUCUGCUACUUCUCAACACUAGGCUACAGACAUUCUCAGCAGUUAUCAUCUUACUGGGCUUAACAAUAAUGUACAAGGAACAUAACUGCAAAGUGGGCUACUGUGUCUCACAAGAUGAGAACAAAGGAAGUGCUGGAAGAGUUUCAAGUCUGGCUGCAGAAAGCUGGAAAGAUGACAGUCUACUUGGGAAAAUGAUACAAAAUGUCUGAAAAUUUAAGCAACUGCUCAAGACUCCUGUCUUAUGAGGGAAAGGAGGCGGGCUCCCUCACAAGACAUUAAGGCUGCCUGUGAGGGCUGUCACCAGUAGUGUUACUAAGUUAAGAUCCUAAUGUACAGUGUGGACACAUGAGUGUUUCUCUUUCUUUUACAAAUGCUGCUAAAGAACAUGCCCAUAGAGGAUAUUUGCAACACCUUAUAAACUAAACCUGACAAUAGGAAAGACCAUACAAAAAGUAUGUACCUUUUAACUUUUUUCCCUUAAGAAAGAAGUUCUAGGUAAGGUAAUCAGGUAAGAAAUUAUUCAAAUAAAAUUAGAAAAAUCAAAUAUUGCUCUGGUUAUACAUGUAAAAUAAUUGCAUUUAUUCAUUAAAAUAAUGCAUUGUAUGUAUUGAUCCAUCUAUAAUUUAUGAGGCACUGGGCAACCUAAUCAUGAAUUCACUCAGUCAUUUAUUGUGUCUGUUAUUUCAACCCACAUUAUUGAACUUCUGUUAUGUGCAAAGCUGUGGCCAGGGUGUGGAUUUCUCCAUGGAUAAGACAUAUUCUGUCCUAGAGAGGAGGCUAGAAAAACUACAGUUUAAUGAGCAGAUAUUAGAUGCUCUGUACUAUGCUAAGAAUUUUAUGCACAGUAUUUCAUAUGAAAAUUGUAAUAACUCUGUUAGGCAAGGCUUAUUGUAAUGUUCUUAGAGAUGGUGUAUUAGUCUGUUUUCACAUGGAUAAUAAAGAUAAUGAGACUGGGUAAUGUAUAAAGAAAAAGAGGUUUAAUGGACUCACAGUUCCACAUGGCUGGGGAGGCCUCACAAUCAUAGUGGAAGGUGAAGGAGGAGCAAAGUCACAUCGUACAUGGUGGCAGGCAAGAGAGUGUGUGUAGGGAAACUGCCCUUUAUAAAGCCAUCAGAUCUCAUGAGACUUAUUCAUUGCCACAAGAACAGCAUGGGAAAAACCCACCUCCAUGAUUCAAUUACCUCUCACUGGGUCCCUCCCAUGACACGUGGGGAUUAUGGGA